AGGACGAACGCUGGCGGCGUGCUUAACACAUGCAAGUCGAGCGGAAAGGCCCUUCGGGGUACUCGAGCGGCGAACGGGUGAGUAACACGUGAGCAACCUGCCCUUAGCUCUGGGAUAGCUCCGGGAAACCGGAAUUAAUACCGGAUAUGACACCGGCCGACAUCGGCUGUUGUGGAAAGAAUUUCGGCUAGGGAUGGACUCGCGGCCUAUCAGCUAGUUGGUGGGGUAAUGGCCUACCAAGGCGACGACGGGUAGCCGGCCUGAGAGGGCGACCGGCCACACUGGGACUGAGACACGGCCCAGACUCCUACGGGAGGCAGCAGUGGGGAAUCUUGCGCAAUGGGCGAAAGCCUGACGCAGCAACGCCGCGUGGGGGAUGAAGGCCUUCGGGUUGUAAACCCCUUUCAGCAGGGACGAAGCGAAAGUGACGGUACCUGCAGAAGAAGCGCCGGCUAACUACGUGCCAGCAGCCGCGGUAACACGUAGGGCGCAAGCGUUGUCCGGAAUUAUUGGGCGUAAAGAGCUCGUAGGCGGACUGUCACGUCCGCUGUGAAAAGCUAGGGCUUAACCCUGGCCUUGCAGUGGAUACGGGCAGACUAGAGGUAGGUAGGGGAGAAUGGAAUUCCCGGUGUAGCGGUGAAAUGCGCAGAUAUCGGGAGGAACACCGGUGGCGAAGGCGGUUCUCUGGGCCUUACCUGACGCUGAGGAGCGAAAGCGUGGGGAGCGAACAGGAUUAGAUACCCUGGUAGUCCACGCUGUAAACGUUGGGCGCUAGGUGUGGGGUCCUUCCACGGAUUCCGUGCCGCAGCUAACGCAUUAAGCGCCCCGCCUGGGGAGUACGGCCGCAAGGCUAAA
rnacentral:rRNA from 1 species